UCCAUCGAGAAACAAAUCAACGAUUCGUGUACCAGCGGCGCGCCAGCGGGAAGGUUUCGUGAACGUCGGCUGCGGCGGUGUUUUCAUGUGUGAGACAGACCGUGCUGAUGCCAUGCCGUCCGGCGGUCCAAGCUACGGCAGCCACUGCUGUGUGUCGUGGUGCUUUGACAACGGCAGAACCCAGAAGAAGCCUAUCUUGCCUUGGAAUAAAAACAUUGCGGAAA